GACGAACGCUGGCGGCGUGCUUAACACAUGCAAGUCGAACGGAAAGGCCCUUUUUGGGUGGUGUUCUCGUGUGGCGAACGUGUGUGAAACACGUGUGUAAUCUCCCCUUGAUUGGGGUAUAUCUUGGGAACACUGGGUCUUAUCGGGUAGAUGAGCUUCUUCUGCGGGGGGGGUGUGGGAGAUUUUCGGCGUGGGGGUGGGGGCUCGCGGGUUAUGAGCUUGUGGGGGGGGUAGGGGCUUACAAGGUUUUUGACGGGUAGCCGGCGUGAGAGGGUGACCGGCCACAUUGGGACUGAGAUACGGCCCAGACUCCUACGGGAGGCAGAAGUGGGGAAUAUUGCACAAUGGGCGGAAGCCUGAUGCAGCAACGCCGCGUGAGGGAUGACGGCCUUCGGGUUGUAAACCUCUUUCCGCAGGGACGAAGCGUGAGUGACGGUAAUGGGUAAAGAAGCACCGGCUAACUACGUG
rnacentral:rRNA from 1 species